rnacentral:rRNA from 1 species
AACGAACGCUGGCGGCGUGUUUAAGACAUGCAAGUCGCACGGGAUCAUUUUGGUAGUAAUACUUGAAUGGUCUAGUGGCGCACGGGUGAGUAACACGUGAAUUACAUGCCCUUCAGUGGGGAAUAGCCCAGGGAAACUUGGAUUAAUACCCCAUGGUAUCGCAAGAUUAAAGGUGGCCGCAAGGCUGUCGCUGAAGGAUUGGUUCGCGCCCUAUCAGCUUGUUGGUGAGGUAACGGCUCACCAAGGCUACGACGGGUACCUGGUUUGAGAGGACGAUCAGGCACACUGGAACUGAGACACGGUCCAGACACCUACGGGUGGCAGCAGUCGAGAAUAAUUCACAAUGGGGGCAACCCUGAUGGUGCAACGCCGCGUGGAGGAUGACGGUCUUCGGAUUGUAAACUCCUGUCAUCCGGGAGUAAGACCUGGCGAUUAACAGUCGACAGGGU